rnacentral:misc_RNA from 1 species
GAUGAAGAACGUAGCGAAAUGCGAUAAGUAAUGUGAAUUGCAGAAUUCAGUGAAUCAUCGAAUCUUUGAACGCACAUUGCGCCCGCCAGUAUUCUGGCGGGCAUGCCUGUUCGAGCGUCAUUUCAACCAUCAAGCCCCCGGCUUGUGUUGGGGACCUGCGGCUGCCGCAGGCCCUGAAAACCAGUGGCGGGCUCGCUAGUCACUCCGAGCGUAGUAAUACAUCUCGCUCAGGGCGUGCUACGGGUUCCGGCCGUUAAAAAGCCUUAUUUACCCAAGGUUGACCUCGGAUCAGGUAGGAAGACCCGCUGAACUUAAGCAUAUCAAUAAGCGGAGGA